AAAACAAAAUCUACUAGCCAACGAACCGGCUCCGCACAGUAGCAUAAAUCGACUUGUUUUGAAAUCAAACUCAUCAUUUGUGUUCCAGCAUUCAGAAUGGGCCGAGUCUUUGCGUUAUCUCUUGCACUGCUGCGGCUGCUACUGCUCGUGACUACUGCCACUGCCGAAGAUGAUGCCGAUCUGGAUGUUUCCAUCGAUAGCUUGCUCACAACUGUACCUCCAGCUGCAGUAGGCUCACAGGGAUCCUGUCAGCAAGGUCAACGAUGUGUCCAGAAAUAUCUCUGCACGAAUGAUUCUACAAGUGGAGCAGGACUUAUUGACAUUCGCUUCAGUGAGAGCAAUCCUUGUGUGGAUUACUUGCUACAGUGCUGCUAUGAAGAAGAUAUUAUCGCCGAACUGCCGAGUGCUUCAACUGUCGAACCACCAAACGUGGAUCACCCUGUCUGUGGAAAACGAAACACCAUAGGAAUUGGCUUCCGAAUCACGGGAGCUAAUAACAGUGAAUCCGAGUACGGAGAAUUCCCGUGGAUGGUUGCGGUAUUUAGACAAGUGCAUGUCCUAGAUCAGGUGGUAAACGUGUACCUUUGUGGUGGAUCCUUAAUUCAUCCCGGUGUAGUACUGACUGCGGUUCAUUGUGUUCAGCAUCAAGCUCCUGAUCAGUUGAGAAUCCGUGCAGGCGAGUGGGAUACUCAAACUGAGAAUGAAAUCCAUCCUUAUCAGGAUCGCCAAGUGGUUGAGAUUGUUGCCCAUCCAGACUUCCACAAAGGAGGACUGUUCAAUGACAUUGCGUUGAUAGUUUUGGAAGCACCUGUCGUUCUUAGUGAAGUAGUUCAAACCGUUUGCUUGCCUCCACCGAAUGAAAGAUUCGAUCUCCAGAGAUGUUUCGUUUCCGGCUGGGGGAAGGACGUAUUCGGCAAGACAGGCGCAUAUCAGGCCAUAUUGAAGAAAAUCGAUUUGCCUAUCGUACCGCAUUCCGAGUGUCAGGCCACGUUAAGGUUAAUCCGUUCGCAGCCUAGAUUUACCUUGCAUGACAGCUUUGUCUGCGCCGGUGGAGAAGUUGGCAAAGAUGCUUGUCAAGGCGACGGUGGAUCCCCUCUCGUGUGUCCCAUUCAGGGUUCCAACGAGUUCUACCAUCAGGUUGGCAUUGUCUCGUGGGGUGUUGGAUGCGGUGGUGGAAUCCCAGGGCUGUACGCGGAUGUGUCUCUCUUCCGGCAUUGGAUCGAUCAGGAAAUGCAAAAUCGAGUUUUGGACACCAGUAGCUAUAGUGUUUCGUGAUGCGAUUACGACCUCUAAUGUGUUCUUGUUUGAUGCUACACGGUCGAAUAAUGUUACUCAGUGGCUGAUUUAUGAACAGUCCCUAACUCUUUUUCUCUCCCAUAAAAAGUGGGAAGAUGAGUCCCCCAGUUUAUAAAAAAAAUCCUAU